rnacentral:rRNA from 1 species
AAAUUGAAGAGUUUGAUCAUGGCUCAGAUUGAACGCUGGCGGCAGGCCUAACACAUGCAAGUCGAACGGUAACAGGAAGCAGCUUGCUGCUUUGCUGACGAGUGGCGGACGGGUGAGUAAUGUCUGGGAAACUGCCUGAUGGAGGGGGAUAACUACUGGAAACGGUGGCUAAUACCGCAUAAUGUCGCAAGACCAAAGAGGGGGACCUUCGGGCCUCUUGCCAUCAGAUGUGCCCAGAUGGGAUUAGCUUGUUGGUGAGGUAACGGCUCACCAAGGCGACGAUCCCUAGCUGGUCUGAGAGGAUGACCAGCCACACUGGAACUGAGACACGGUCCAGACUCCUACGGGAGGCAGCAGUGGGGAAUAUUGCACAAUGGGCGCAAGCCUGAUGCAGCCAUGCCGCGUGUAUGAAGAAGGCCUUCGGGUUGUAAAGUACUUUCAGCGGGGAGGAAGGUGUUGCGGUUAAUAACCGCAGCAAUUGACGUUACCCGCAGAAGAAGCACCGGCUAACUCCGUGCCAGCAGCCGCGGUAAUACGGAGGGUGCAAGCGUUAAUCGGAAUUACUGGGCGUAAAGCGCACGCAGGCGGUCUGUCAAGUCGGAUGUGAAAUCCCCGGGCUCAACCUGGGAACUGCAUUCGAAACUGGCAGGCUUGAGUCUUGUAGAGGGGGGUAGAAUUCCAGGUGUAGCGGUGAAAUGCGUAGAGAUCUGGAGGAAUACCGGUGGCGAAGGCGGCCCCCUGGACAAAGACUGACGCUCAGGUGCGAAAGCGUGGGGAGCAAACAGGAUUAGAUACCCUGGUAGUCCACGCCGUAAACGAUGUCUACUUGGAGGUUGUGCCCUUGAGGCGUGGCUUCCGGAGCUAACGCGUUAAGUAGACCGCCUGGGGAGUACGGCCGCAAGGUUAAAACUCAAAUGAAUUGACGGGGGCCCGCACAAGCGGUGGAGCAUGUGGUUUAAUUCGAUGCAACGCGAAGAACCUUACCUGGUCUUGACAUCCACAGAACUUUCCAGAGAUGGAUUGGUGCCUUCGGGAACUGUGAGACAGG